AUUGAACGCUGGCGGCAGGCCUAACACAUGCAAGUCGAGCGGAUGAAGGGAGCUUGCUCCUGGAUUCAGCGGCGGACGGGUGAGUAAUGCCUAGGAAUCUGCCUGGUAGUGGGGGAUAACGUCCGGAAACGGGCGCUAAUACCGCAUACGUCCUGAGGGAGAAAGUGGGGGAUCUUCGGACCUCACGCUAUCAGAUGAGCCUAGGUCGGCUUAGCUAGUUGGUGGGGUAAAGGCCUACCAAGGCGACGAUCCGUAACUGGUCUGAGAGGAGGAUCAGUCACACUGGAACUGAGACACGGUCCAGACUCCUACGGGAGGCAGCAGUGGGGAAUAUUGGACAGUGGGCGAAAGCCUGAUCCAGCCAUGCCGCGUGUGUGAAGAAGGUCUUCGGAUUGUAAAGCACUUUAAGUUGGGAGGAAGGGCAGUAAGUUAAUACCUUGCUGUUUUGACGUUACCAACAGAAUAAGCACCGGCUAACUUCGUG
rnacentral:rRNA from 1 species